AACGAACGCUGGCGGCAUGCCUAACACAUGCAAGUCGAACGAGACCUUCGGGUCUAGUUGCGCUCCGGUGCGUACCGCCUGGUAACCUACCCUUAGGUUCGCUAUCCCUCCCCGAAAGAGAUGCUCAUACAAGAUAAUGUCUUCGGACCAAAGAUUUCUCGCCUCUGGAUGGGCCCUCGUUGGUUUCGCCGGUUGGUAGGGUACAAGCAUACCAAGGCGACGAUCCAGAGCUGGUCUGUGAGGAUGAUCAGCCCGACUGGCACUGAGACACGGCCCAGACUCCUACGGGAGGGAGGAGUGGGGAAUAUUAGACGAUGGGCGAAAGCCUGAUCAAGCAAUGUCGCGGGAGUGGUGAAGGCCUUAGGGUUGUAAAGCUCUUUUAGCCGGGAUGAGAAUGACAGUAACGGGAGAAGAAGCGCCGGCUAACUCCGUG
rnacentral:rRNA from 1 species